AUGUGAAAAAGAUUUCUCGGAAAGGUAAUUUGUGCAGUUAAUGAAAAGUCACGUGAAGUCGCAUGAUGCGAAAAGGGGAAAGCAAGAUGAAUUUUAAUGCGAAUCCGAGAUGGUCCGUCGGAAACUCUGGCGCUUAUGACAUACAUUUCCGGCGCAUAAUAGAUACGUCGAAAACAUCGUAAACCUAACCAAAACAAGUAAAAACGUAUUAAGAUCGGCCGUGCCGUACUUUGGAAGCCCACCACCAUGGAUUUUCAUUUCAUUUCAUUUCAUUUAUUAACCAAAUAUGUAAUAUAAAGCCAAUAAGGCCCAUAAAAUAAUUACAUACAAACAUUUCAGUAGCCUGAGUAUAA